AGUGAACGCUGGCGGUAGGCCUAACACAUGCAAGUCGAACGGCAGCACAGUAAGAGCUUGCUCUUACGGGUGGCGAGUGGCGGACGGGUGAGGAAUACAUCGGAAUCUACUUUUUCGUGGGGGAUAACGUAGGGAAACUUACGCUAAUACCGCAUACGACCUACGGGUGAAAGCAUGGGAUCUUCGGACCUUGCGCGAUUGAAUGAGCCGAUGUCGGAUUUGCUAGUUGGCGGGGUAAAGGCCCACCAAGGCGACGAUCCGUAGCUGGUCUGAGAGGAUGAUCAGCCACACUGGAACUGAGACACGGUCCAGACUCCUACGAGAGGCAGCAGUGGGGAAUAUUGGACAAUGGGCGCAAGCCUGAUCCAGCCAUACCGCGUGGGUGAAGAAGGCCUUCGGGUUGUAAAGCCCUUUUGUUGGGAAAGAAAAGCAGCAGGUUAAUACCCAGCUGUUCUGACGGUACCCAAAGAAUAAGCACCGGCUAACUUCGUG
rnacentral:rRNA from 1 species